AGCGCAGACGGUUAUUUAAGCAAGAUGUGAAAGCCCCGGGCUCAACCUGGGAACUGCGUUCUGAACUGGGUAACUAGAGUGUGUCAGAGGGGGUAGAAUUCCACGUGUAGCAGUGAAAUGCGUAGAGAUGUGGAGGAAUACCGAUGGCGAAGGCAGCCCCCUGGGAUAACACUGACGUUCAUGCUCGAAAGCGUGGGUAGCAAACA
rnacentral:rRNA from 1 species